AUUUUAUGAUGAUUUCAUGCGUGUCAACUGAUCCCAGUGGUUGUCUGGUAGCUGGCACCUUGCUGACGUUUUGUCUGUAAGUAAUGUUAGUCACUAGAGAUUCUGGGAACAUGAUCAUGCUAUUCACUUCUGAAAAU